rnacentral:rRNA from 1 species
AUUGAACGCUGGCGGCAGGCCUAACACAUGCAAGUCGAACGGUAACAGGAAACAGCUUGCUGUUUCGCUGACGAGUGGCGGACGGGUGAGUAAUGUCUGGGAAACUGCCUGAUGGAGGGGGAUAACUACUGGAAACGGUAGCUAAUACCGCAUAACGUCGCAAGACCAAAGAGGGGGACCCUCGGGCCUCUUGCCAUCGGAUGUGCCCAGAUGGGAUUAGCUUGUUGGUGGGGUAACGGCUCACCAAGGCGACGAUCCCUAGCUGGUCUGAGAGGAUGACCAGCCACACUGGAACUGAGACACGGUCCAGACUCCUACGGGAGGCAGCAGUGGGGAAUAUUGCACAACGGGCGCAAGCCUGAUGCAGCCAUGCCGCGUGUAUGAAGAAGGCCUUCGGGUUGUAAAGUACUUUCAGCGGGGAGGAAGGGAGUAAAGUUAAUACCUUUGCUCAUUGACGUUACCCGCAGAAGAAGCACCGGCUAACUCCGUG